rnacentral:tRNA from 1 species
GGCGAAGUACUUUAAGGAAAAGUUUGGGUUUGCGUCUCAAGAUUAGGGCGCCUCCCCUCUUUGCCG